GCCAAUCACAUAACAGAGGAAGUGACUAUAUAAGGCCUGUGUCUCCCACAAUCCCCCUCUUUUUUGCGAAAACCGAAGACCAGGUAAGAAGAACGAAAUCCAACUUGUCCAGAACAGGAAAAGGCAACAAACCGAUAACUUCAAGCUAAAAGAGAGAGAGAAAUAUGGUAAUAUCCAAACUCCAAACUGUAGACUUACCAAAAC